rnacentral:misc_RNA from 1 species
AGGCUUUAUGUUUACAAAUGGCGUCCUCAAAUGUUGAGUACUAUCAGAGGCAAAAAGAUUUGCAAGAUUCUAUUGUAGAAAACGAACAGAAAAGAAAAAGAUUAGAGGCACAGUUACAAGCUUACAGUCAGUCUGAUCACAAAUUAGCUAAGUUACGAGCAGUAAAGCUGCAAAGCUACUGGAAGAGGAUUUGUGAGGAUGAGAAACGGAGUAAACAGAGAAAUGCACAGUUACUUAGAGAUCUUGAUAGAAUGGAGGCUAACAUGGCCAGUCUUGAGGCACGCAGAGAGAAACUCAGACAUAUGAAGCAACAAUAUUUUGACUACAUUGAAAGAACAUAUCCAAAGUGGUUAGAACUGGUUCAACAGAAGAAGCAAGAAUACAUUCAGGAACAACAACAUAAGCAAGAGCAGCAGUUUCAGCAGCAACAUCAGCAGCAGUUUCAGCAGCAACAACAACAGCAGUUUCAGCAGCAACAACUACAGCAGCAGCAGCAGUUUCAGCAGCAGUAUGAGCAGCAACAGAGACUACAGCAGCAGCAGUUCUCCAGUUCUCAGAGUUACACUGGGAGACAACAGUAUGGGCAGACUUCUGCAAAUCAGCAGUAUCAGAAUGAAGAACAAACAUUACCUAAACAACAAGAGGCAUUCCUUACACAACAACACUAUGAAGAUGUCAGGGAUCCUUAUGAGAAUGGUCGUGAUGAAGAAAGCCCACCUCCACUACCUAGUCAGCCUCCACCACCAGUGGCAUUCAGUGGACCUGAGAGAGAAUAUACCAACCUUAGUGAGAUGAGACGAGAAAAGGAGGCACAAGCACACACUCAGCCUCAGUCUGUUACAGUACAUAUGCCAAGUGCCCAAAGAGAUGCUGUUUCAUCAAGCAAAUCAGGGCGGCCUGAAAGUGGGAGGAGACCGGAACAGCCCAACCAAAACUGGAUGGCUGCAGAACGUGAUGCCAGUAUACACAGUGUCAGUUACAGUGAGGAGACAGAAGUACAGCCUCCAGCUAUACAGAGUGUCACAGUCAGACAGAAAACUGAACCUCCUAAGCCAGUAGUACAGAUGAUGGAGCCUGUAUCAGAUGAAGACGUUAGUGAUUUUGGAGAUGAGCCUGACUUGCCGAGUGGAGCAGGUAGCUCACCUGACAAGAUUGGGGAGGUGAAACCCCCAUCUCCAGUACAGGCAGCUGCUGAUCAGGAGGAAGAGGGAGAGGAUGAUGAUGAUACUGACCAAUCUCCAUCAGUUGUGCACCCAGACAUUAGUACUGCAGGUCUGUUUCGACUUCUGAAGUUUGUUGAAGAGGAGCUGUUAAAUGCAUUAGCUCUGGAGGGAUUUUACAGGACUAGAAGUCCAGAUGAAGCUACUAAGAAAGAUAUCGUAUAUAAAGCAAACAAUGCUAACAGUCACCUGCAGUCCCUGGAUGCUGAGCUGGUCAGUAUGGUGAUCCUGCAACAACUCACACUUGUUGUGAGGCGCCUGCCAGGAGCAUGUAUGCUGUCUGAUACACUCCUUGUCAAGGGAGGUAACUCGCUGUCAGAGACAGCAAUAAGGUCAAAUCUGCACAGAGAUGCCCAGACGUUAUGGGAUAAACUCUUAGAACAUUUCAUUCUGCUUGUAAAGAACAGAGUGAUGGGAACACGAGAGGUGGCUCAUGUGUUUGUUCCAUGCCUAGUGCAUGCUGGUUCAGAAAAUCAGGCCAAGGCUGUGAGUGUUAUAGAGGGAGUGAUAGAGAGUGCCAUAGAGAAAGCGGAUGGAAAAUCAUCUCCUUUACCGCAAGACAGUAUCACUGUAGAUACAGCUCGUAGCAGUCAGCAGGGUGGAGGAAUAUAUAUGAACAUCAACCUUGCAGUCCCACCCCUGAAGUUUGGCAGUCUUGUUGAUAGUAAACCAUUCAGUGACGAAGAGUCGAGCAUGAUCACACAGAGUAUGAAUACAGAUGUACAAAAGGUUCCACUAAAUGAAACGGAUGCUUACAAGAACCUUAUAAGUGGAACUCGACCUGCAGUACGUUCAUUCAGCCAUGAUGAUACAGAUGAUACAGAUAAUGAGUUAGAAAAGCAGAUAGCAUCAACUCUCUCACCUAGAAGUCACGGAAGAUAUUUCUAUGUGUAAUGUUGAAAUCACGCACAGCAAAAUCUAUCCUUGGAUCAACAGGUGGAUCAAGUCAACAGAGAAAACUAGCUGGAAUGAUCAGUUCGGAUCUAGACAGUGAUACUGAAGUUGAUCUAGAUCACAUGGUU